UCAUGCAACUAGGGUUUCAAAAU
rnacentral:snRNA from 1 species